CGGACCUGAAUAGCACAGGCAUGCCAUCUUGUAACACUAUCUGGCUGUCAGGAGAGGCCGGCCCAGAAGAGUGAGCUAUAUAAGGCUUGUUACCAGGGGAGGCCUAACAAACAGCUACAAACACCUAAGUUAUUUUGCUCGCCACCCACCCUUCCCUCUCUCUCUCUCUCUCUCUCCCUCUCUCUCUCUCUCUCUCUCUCUCUUUUCUUUCGCUCCUCUCGCGCUCUCCUUUUUUUUUUUUCCCCCCUCUUUUCAUCUCGGGCUUUCUGAUGUUGAAUGCAAAUGUGGCCUGCCGGCGGAGAAAGGGGGCGAAUUGUGAUUAAGCAGAAGAAGAGCCCUUUUCUUUGUUCUCGCCUCCGGGGAUGUUUACUGGGAGAGACAUGGAGGAUCAGAUAUGAAAGGCAUUCAGCCUGGCCUGUUUGACUGUGAAGAUCUUUGGCGGGUAAGAGCAGCUCGUAUAGUAACGGUGGUUCGCUGGCUGCAGAAGCGUAACAGCGAGGAACUGCAUGGGCUUUGCUGGACAACACCACGUCAAGCCGGCCGCCACCACGAUCGGGAGUCUUCGCAACGCUACGUCCAAAUUCUUUUGUCCGGCUUUAAGAUUUUUGCAGUGAUUUC